UACGGAGGGAGCUAGCGUUGUUCGGAAUUACUGGGCGUAAAGGGCGCGUAGGCGGCCUUCUAAGUCGAACGUGAAAUCCCCGGGCUCAACCCGGGAACUGCGUCCGAUACUGGAAGGCUUGAAUCCGGGAGAGGGAUGCAGAAUUCCAGGUGUAGCGGUGAAAUGCGUAGAUAUCUGGAGGAAUACCGGUGGCGAAGGCGGCAUCCUGGACCGACAUUGACGCUGAACGGCGAAAGCUAGGGGAGCAAACGGG
rnacentral:rRNA from 1 species